ensembl:lncRNA
AGUAUCACCUGAGUAGUAAGCUCACUUUUAAACUGCAUUUGGCUUAUCUUUUGAGCUGGGAAGACUUCAGCUCUACUGAGUCAUCGUGUGGUCCUUCGUGUCUGCUUGUCAAAUGCUGGUUUUUCCUGGCACUGACUACUGCCCGAUAGACCUGCUGGCACUCACAGCAGUUCAGUUUUCUAAGUAAAACCUGUUUCGAGAAGCAAACCACCUUAAUUUAAACAAAUAAAAUGCAGCUGUAUUGUCAGCAGUCUGCAACAAACAUUUACUAAGAUAGCAAUUUAAACCAAAGGCUCCAGUUUAAGUGAUGUUUGAACUUUUCUCCCUGAAAGAUUCAGCUUUCAGUUUCACCGUCCCAGGCUCAAACUCUGCUGGAAUCUACGGUUAAUGAAUGGAUAUUCAGUUUUCCAUGUGGAACCAAAUCUCCUCUAGCUAGAUGUCUUGAGAAAUAUGUAGCCAGGGCCAGUCUGGCUCAGGAUAGAUGGAUUCUCUAUUUAAACAAACACCUGCUUCAAAAGCAAGUCUCAUGGUCAGGCCACGGCUAUUUUUAUUCUUAAAUGAGCUAAGUGGCUGUUACCUUCUCUGGACCCUAAAGAGAAAAGCAAGCAGAAAAUGAAACAAAUUAAGGUGAAGUGGGUUACUGAAGCAACAAUCAUACAGUUAGUGUUUUAUAAGCUAAUGUAAGAGUUAGCAAUCUCUAGGAAGUUUUGGAAAGUUCACAGCAGUGUUGGUAGCCAUGGCUUCUUCAACAGUCCUCCGGAGGUGGUGUCUAAUACUGCUGUGUUAUAGAACAUCCCAAAAUUGCUUCCAGCAGCAAUUGCAAGGAAAGUUGUGCCUCCCUAUAGGUUGUGAAAUGUUGAUGCUGAAGGAAUUGUUGAGAGGUUUGAGUUGUCAAAAGAAACAAUUCACAUGCAGGUGAAACAGUUUUCAGAGAACCAGUCGUUCUAGGCAAGCUAUUUGACAAGCACCAGAAGCUCUCAGCUACUGUCUAAAACAACCUUCAAGGCUUUUAUUUGAGAAGUUGCCCACCUUAUAUUAAGUUGCAGUAGAGUGACAAUUUUUCUUCAGCUGCAUUCCAGGAAGCCAGAGAGAGCCUCUUGUGACUGAAAGCUGCUGGAACAGCUGGAUCCAAAACAGCCAUACAGCACAUGGCUGUUUAUCUCAAGUUGUUAAGCGCUGACGGAGGUACAGCAACAUCUCGGAAGUGGAAGCAGCACCUGACUGAAGAUGCAGCGUAUUGUGCAACUCGGUUAAUCUGUCUUCUGAACAAAUGACACAGCAAGUCUCAGUGCAUUCUCAGCCUGUGCUGCUUUAUUGCUAAAAAAAUUUGUAUACAGGUGCAGAGUUUCCAAGUUCAUUUUUAAACAGUUCCUCUUUACAGCGUCAAAAGAAUAAAAUCUUAUCUUGAAAUCCUCAAAGAUGCAUAGAUAUAAAAGCAAGCUGCCUUUUGGAAAAAACAUCAGAAUUUGCAGGGAAACAUUCUUUUACUGUUACCAUGUAAAACACGUGCAAUGCGAGCACACAGAUCCUAGCGACACCGGUAAUUGUCUCCACUAACCCACGUGAGUAAUGCCAUCAGAAGUUCAGUGUAAGAAGUCUUCUCCAACCUGGUUUGUAAGUAUUGAGCUAUUUUCAAACAAUCUGUAAUUACUACUUCUCCUUUGCUGUUAGAUCAUGUUUCUCAAAAGGAAGAUAACUUCACUGAAGUCCUAAAGUAGCUUACUCCCCGGGUUUUCUAUUGGAGAGGAUAAGCACGAACAAUGGAUCCAAGUGCUUACUCAUCACACAAAAGAAAACACACAUAACAGUUUAAAACCAUGUGAAAUGUUCUAAAAAAAUACCCAACUCAGCAUUAGGUGGUCACAGUUAACUGCUGGGCUAAACUUGUUUUACCAAUUCCGUUUUGUCUUGAAGAAGUUGGCUCGAAGGAUUUCAUUUAAUCUAACUUCGGUACAGUAAAAUAGUUAAAUCUUCUCUUAUAAUAUUCCUAUAUUUAUUUGGCAAUUCUUGUAUAUCUAGAAAGCAUUCGUGAGAAAAACAUGGCCCCAUUCUAAACCCAAAUCAUGGAGCUUUAUGGAUGGUUGGCUACAAAGCAUGACCAGGAGUUAACUUGACACAAUUCCUUCCUCCGAGACACCACCCCUUUCUGCUUCAGAAAGAGGACCGAGCCCCUGUACACAGAGAAGUUUUCUGCACAAGUUAAGCCCACCUGCAAAAUUAAGCUAAGCUACAAGUAUGGAAUUCUGCAGUAACACGCUAGUAUUCUACUUCAAAAUAGGAAAAGCGUUGGUGACAUGGACUGUGCCACGUUCUACGUUAUUUUCAAACCACCAGCAGAAAUCCACUGCGUUAUUCACUAAAGGACUUGGGAGAUAUUACAGAAAGCAGAAUAAAAGUUUACAGAAAGAUGGCACCCAAGUUCCCUCUUAUUUAAUAAGUGAAAUAAAGAAAAAAAGAUUAUAUUGCAACCCGUGUUGCAGAAGAUAAAGACCUUCAGUGAUCAAAUCUCAUUUUCUGAUUUUAAAAAUCUCCUUUUCAAAGAACUUAAAAAAUAUACAAGAUUACCAGUAUUUUCAGUCUUCUCCAAAUAAUUUCUCUCACCACAGACAAGCUUAUUACCUACCGUCUGUCAAAUACUACACUCAUUUUGAGUCUGUUGCUUCUGUUACCGUUGUUCCCUUUUUUCCACCAGUUGCUCCCCCCUGCACCAUGUAAGAAACUCUGCACCCUUUUCUUUGCUACAGCUGCAGCAGGUGAGAAACCUCAUCUCGCCCCUAAACAUGCUUAGUUCAUGCCCUGCUUUAUACAUGCUCAGGGCACUAAUACGAACCAGACAAGAGGUUAUGAAGGCGAGUUCUGCUGAUCCUGGUUCCUGAUUUACAGUUUUGGUGCCAUGCUUCUGACCCUAUCUAUACAUUCUGCCUCCUUCUCUACAGAGGCAGCACAUUCUCUAAAAACAAAAACAAAACAAUCCCAAAAUUUGAGAAUCAAAGCAGGAAGUUCAAGCUAUUGGUAUAUAAUUUCCUAUUGCUUCAUUAUGUAUAAAUGCAUAUCUCCAUUUACUGGUAAUAACUACAUUACACUAGACAUUGUGAAUCAUGCAUAAUUAGAAUACUAGCUCUAAGAUUUGGUUUGUGGGCCUGUGCCAUUUUCCUUCAGUUUCUCCAUGCGGUUCUUCAUGCCUAAGGCAUCACAAACCAGACGCCUUUUAUUUGACCUGCAAACGUGCUCAUUUGGAGGGGAAGAGGAGAAGCAGACAAGACUUACACGGGACACGCUAAACAGUAAGUUACCUUUUAUCCUGAACCUCAGAUGUCAUAAAGCCUUGGGAAAUCUGUCUACAUUACACCUGGUACGUAGGCUCAGAGACAGAGACACACUCCUUGCUUAUGUCAAGUACACCUACACGUUCUGGAAACUCAGGAGAAAGUGCAGAGCAGAAUGAAAGGGAACAAAUUAUGGUAGUGUUCUGCACUGUCAAAUGAGACACCCUGGUUUGACUGCUGGCUUUUGUGUGCCAAACAAAGUGCUACAGGGGCAAUAUGUUGGAUUGUUCAGUAAAAGAAAAGCAAUGGAAUCCAACUUGAACUGCCAUUAUGCAGCUCUGUACCCGAACAGCAAGCUGGAUUAAGCUCUGAAGGAAGACCAGACUCCUUACUAGAGACGCAGUUAUUUCUAUUUCUGGUAAUCCAUCAAAAAACAUUCUCUUCCAUACUUUUCCAUUUUCUGCUCAAAAACAUACUGCCAGCUCUUGUUAACAUAACCCUUGUAUAACAUGUCAGCGCCCUAAAGCACACUACAGUUUGUUCUCACUCACUAUCAAGUAGCCUUUGCAAGCCUUUUAUUUUUGCCCUACGUUUGACAAUUACGCUCAGCUGCAGAAGGUGCCAUUUGUCAAGUUGCAGCUCCCAACACAAGCACUGGCUAGACCUACUGCAGCAGCACCACUGGGUAAGGAACGGGAUUUACAUGGAGCUUCUGGGGUUACUACCGCUAAAUGGGUCGUCUCCGUAAUGAUGUCAGUGGUGGGCACUACACUUUUGAUAUCCCACAGUGUCGUAGCAUACAACACUGCUACUUAGUUUUAGAAGCAGUGAAACCAAGGAGUUUAGUUUGGAACAAAAAUCAUGCCGUAACACAGCAACUGAAAGGCAAUGGAAUUUCCUUUGCAGCUGUGAAAACUGAUUUCCAGGAUAGUAUAUACUGAAGUCUGAACUGAGAAGAAUAUGCAGAUAGCUUGCCUAGCUACAAGUCUUGAUUUCCUCCCCUCCUCUAAAUUAAUGAGACCUUGAAAAUUUCUGUUCUGCCACAAAGUUCAUGCUUCUGAAGUUUAAACAUGACCAUGUUUUCAUUAUUAAUUUGUUGUCACGUAAACGUAUUUGCCAAUCACAAGAAAUUUGUAAUUUUUUUUAACAUAGUUGGAUCCCAAAGCUCCCAGUUUCAUCAAUAAUUCACUAGCUGGAAUUUAAGCAGACUGUAGCUUCCCCGAUCAGUUAGCUUUUCAUACACAUUGUUUGAACCCAUUUAGACGUGUUUAUGCUUAUUUUGGUUACUUUAUACCAUAAGAACAUUCACAGCCCUUAACAACCCCAACUACCAACUUAUGAAGAGCCAAAAGGCUUCACCCUAUGUCACCUCAGAACAUUCAAAGCCUCCCUUCAGCUGGCAAUUGCAUUCCAAAUUACUUCAGCUUUCUAGAAGAAAUCCAGCCAGAUAGAUCUAAGCUUCUGACGCAAUAAUUCUGUUCAGAAUACAGUACCAUCUGUGGGCCAUAUAGUCUCCACAGACUUCCGUAUCUGCACUGAAAUCAGAGUCAGCUAUGGAUGCUUUGGAACUCCUGUGGCUCUUUUAUGUAACCCUUUGACAGCAAAUGUCUUGCUGGGUGCAGAGGCUACGGCUGUAGAUCAAUAUCCCUUUCUGUAACCAAAGGCUUCACGGUGCUUGCCUCAGCAAGACUUCAAGCACUAACAGAAAUCAAUGGUCUGGAACAGAAUGUUUAGCAAGUCUAAAAUUAUUUUUGCUGUAAAGUAACAUUUUUAGGAUCCUAAAAAUCUCCUUUGGGAUGUACAAAUACUCUCUAUUUUAUUUUUUAAGACCCGUCAUUCAUAUCAAGAUUGGUCUUUUUAAAAAGAAGUACCUACAGUAAAAUUCUAAUUUCAGAAACACUUUCCUUCCGCAGUCCAGUAUUUGGAAGGGUCUCAUUUCCCUUUAGAGAAGCAGAGCAAGUGUAAGACUGUGAAAAAGAAAAAGAAACGGGGAAACUUCAGCUAUCUGAGAGAAUAUUUCAGAAAGAACUGCCUGCCCUUCCCCAGCACUCACUGACAGUGCUUCAGAUAUGUGACACAGCUCAAGAGUAGUAUAAGGUUAAUUAACUAAGUAUUCAAGUGCCAACCAAAUUCCCUCCAACGAGAGGAACACUAAGAGGAAUUCACCCAUCUUAGGAAAAGAGACUUUCACCCAACUCCCUGUAGCACAGAGCGCCACAAACUUAUUUGGUUAUUACCCACCUACUCUACUGUACAGCCUUGCUAAUGCAAGUUAUUUACUAUCACAUGCAAAACAGUUAUUGCUACUAAAGUUCUAUUUUCUUAUUAAAUCAUCUUAUGGCUUUGUUUGCAUCAGGGAUUCUUCCCCCUACAUACUGUGCUAUUUUGCAUUCCAGUUUCAGAGGUAUUUUUCAAUUGAUUCUCCCAAGCACUAAACUACUUUAUUCAAUGGUACAGCUACUUCUGUUCAGAAUUGAACCUAAAUGAGCACAAGUCCCCCAGAGCUCUGCUGUAAAUGGCUCAACCACCCAAUUUUCUUGGCAACGCAUUAGAUGCAGAGAGGUGGGGGGACGCUGUUAUCUACACUAACUCUGCAAGGAUUACUGGUUUUGCACCAAAGAACAUGCUACUUGAUUAAUUACUUUAGAGAUAUAUCCUAUUAAAAUUACAAAACCGAGCCACCCAUUCCAUCCCUCCUCCUAAUGGCCAUUUAGAGGCAUGUCUCAGGAAAAAUAAGAUGCAGUAUCCUCUCUAAACUGACGAGAGAACUUUGUUCUUGUAAAGAGAGAAGUGAGUGAAGAGCAACACUGGCACCAAAUAAAAGAGUUUUUUUCCCAAGGAAAUCAGAGGAUGCCAUCCACAGAGCACUACACACCUCAGGAAUCAUACCAAUCUCCUAUUUGACCAGCCCAAGCUGCCCACUGAGUGCUAAAUCAUUUCAACUUCCCCCAGUUUAAGUUUUCCUUCUGAAAAAAGCAGAGGGAGAGACGUAAGUUAUUAAAAUUGAGAUUAGCUGGAAAGCAAUGCUGGAAGUUACCCAAAAUACAAGAUACUGAAUCCUCAAUAGUACAGAGGUGGGGAAUCUAUGAUCUGUAGGCUAGAUAUUGCCUGCUGAACAGAUACAGGCUGCAAUGUUGUUUUUCAACAGCCCUUAACCUUAUUAUAUUCUCUCUUAUUAAGAUGUGUGUAAAUGCAGGAUCCACCAAAGGUGUUAAAAGAUUCAAUAGGACUUCAGAAAAAAAAAACUAACCAUUAUUAUAGGAAUUAAGUCUUUAUGUAAGAUUGGCAGAUAGCAUUUCGCAACUAGUUACUAAAUAAGUGAAAGUAAUGUUUAACUGGUUAUUACAAUUACAUAAUCAGAUUUGAAAUGUAUGUAUGUUUUUAACUUAACAGAUUUUCUAAAUAAUAUUAAGGUAGCAGAGAGGUGCACAAAAUGCACACUAACUCUUCAGCAUAUUCAUAAUUCUGAUAAUAUCAUACGAUGGGUAGUAAUAAAACUGAAAAUGCUGCUCAUAGAAGAAAACACCUUCAACAAAGACUAAAAAAAGAAUAACCUGUGACAGAGAUGAGAAUUCUGGAUGCUUACAUACACUAAUUUACAAAGAUACGCUGAAAACAAAACAUUAAUGAUUCUAUGAAGCCCGUUCUAUUCCUAAAGAUAGCAUUAUCAUUGCCAAAGGGAGGAUACUGCAUACUUAGACCAUGUUUGUGACAUUUCUACUGUAUCCUUUCUAUUGUUAAUUACAUUAUCAUCACGGUUUAUUAAUAAAUUUGUCACUCUGAAAUUGUAAAAAUACUACUAGGCUCAUGCACUGAUCCUAACAUGGCACUACUGUUUGCUACAAAGCACUAAUGCUUAUGGAACUAUACACAUCUCAAAAUGGAAGACAUUGGUGAUUUUGUUGUUUUCAAACAACUUGUAACAUCAUUUUGUCCACAAGUAUUAAAAUAUAUAUAUGUAUAUAUAUAUGAUCUAUUGCACAUGCCCCUUGUUUCAGUCAUCUUUCACACAGGAAGAUUUCCAACCAACACAGAGAAAAAGUGGAGCAAGAAAAAGUAAGUAGGCUGAGGCAGCAUUUCCUAACAGCGGUUUUAUAGGAAGCCGCUGGAAAGGUAUGGCAGUGGGGUCUUCUGGGCACGCAUUAUUGGAGUAUUACUUCUGCGAAAGCCACAGAUCUUCAGCCCCGCUAAAAACGUUAUGUUCCAAGCUACAACUUGAAAACUAACGUUGUUCCAUUGCCAGGGUUAGAAGUCAGUUCUAUUUUUUUUGUUACAACGCAGGGUUACAAAAUGUUGACGGUUAUUCUUACACAAGUGGCAACCAAAGGGCUGAAAGCGUCUACUCUCUAGUCAGAAAGGUCUUUAAGUUUUUGUUCAUAUCCACAGAAGAGGAAAAGUACAUUCCUGUCCCUCAAGUAUUUUGUUAUCAAGCUAUGCAAGAAAUCAACUGCUAGCUCUAAUGUCAGAAAGACAAGCAUGGGCAGAAGGAAGUAAAGGAAAUGCCAAGAUUCAAGAUCAGAUGAUUCCUAUACUAGACACCUUCCAACACAUAAUCCUAAGGUAUUAAUAGUAUUUUCCAUCAGAUAGAGAUGGAUCCUGCUUCUACAGACAUCUACUAUGCUAGAUGAUUCCUAUUGGUUUCAACAUAAAAAGGUUCUAAUUGAAAAGCGUGCUUCUCUAGACGCAUCUCGUACCAGAAAAUUCAGAUCACAUUCAGCAAAGAAAUCCCAUAUUCUUAAAAUAAAUCAAGCCAAGUUGGUGGUUGCCUCAACAGGAUUAAUAUAACUCAUCUAAACUAAUAAAAGGAACACAGUUCAUCACAAUAUUGCAUAUAAUUUAAGUGCACCUCUACUUGUUACAGUGGGCAUAAUUUUGAUACGCAGUGUCUUAACCACCCUGCUUAGCUUGCAUGUCUCCAUGAAGAUCAGACCAAAACAAACGGGAAGGGCUUUCAUUAAAUCUUAUUGUUACAAUGCAAGUCUAAACACAGAUCUAACGUUACCCCAAGGAACAGGAUCAGUACCAACAUCUGUCCUUCUGCUAUGGAAACUCGGUCCCCAUAACAUUUCACCACGUUUUAAGUUUCAGAAUACUGCCCUUGCAAUCUAUCAGUAAGAUUUAAGAAAGAUUUCAACUGUUGGCUCUUCCAGCCAUUUUCAGGCUGUCCGGCUCUCUCCAGUAGUUUUCUGAAACAAAAAAAAAACAAAACAAAACAAACACCCCACCACCUAACCAUGCCGUUAUUCCCCAAAACAUAGUGCUAGAACAUAUAUCCCUUAUUUGAUCCAAAUUUAAAAAUAUUUUAAGCUAAAUCAUUUUGUAAAUUGCAAGUUUGGAUUAAGGUGCACUAAGAGAUCCAGACUUGAAAUGGAGAUUAGUUUUUGCCAAGAAAUCUUACUUGCCAUAUAUAAUACCAUAGCAAGGAGCAUGUGAACAGUAUAAGAUCCCACCUGAAAAUGAUUGAAAAUACCUUAUAUAAUCACAAACAAUGGAGACAGAGAACCCUGUGUAAACAUAAGAACAACAGAUAGCGCCUUAAUUUGGGAAGGAAUAAGAACCACCAGAAAAAGUCCCAACCCUAAGCAUUUCUACUCUCUCAACUCGUACCUCUUACAUGGCUGAGCUCAUUCUGGGCGGAGACGAUGGAAACAUACAAAUCAUCUCAGUUCUCAGUCACAAAAGAAUCAAAAAUCGGAUUCCAUCAGCGCUAUGAAAAAGCUGAAUCUGUGUCAUGGAAGCUGCAGGGCGUAAGCUGCAGCUUUAUACCUCAGGUCUCUUCCAUCUCACCAGAAGUUAAUUUCUUUAAUAAAGAAAGAAGUUCUGUCACAUCUUUUCAACUGUAGAAUGGUUUUGUUCCUUUUGCUGCUGAGGAUCCAUAAAAAGCCCAAAGGAGGGAAUGAUUAAUGUGAACUUAAUCAUUAUCUUGUAACCUUAGAGGUCUUUAAAGCUUCAUUUUUCUUUGCUAAAAAUGAAGUGGUGCAGAGUAAUUUCUUCUUCUGCUCAAAGUUCUUCAUAGCCAGAACUUAUGUGGGUUUAUACAUGCAAAUAUACAUUUUGAUCACAGAUUGGGAUGACGCUGUUACACACCACAGACAAGGUGAUUCUGCAUUUGUUCCUGUGCAUUAGCUGCUUUGUGUGAGUUAACAUCAAGAUAUUUAUCUACAGAGUCAAGUCAGGAUCCUGAACUACAAAAUACCUGUUAUGUGUGGGACUUCUCCAGUUGCUUGGCAAGUUUAUUCCUCAUAACAGAGCAGAAAGUAUGUCCUGGUUUCCUGCUGCAUACACGCCAAGGUUGACAGGGCAAUGCAUACAGAUACUUUAUAGGCCAGGAAUUCCAAUAUGACAUACUGAAGAACUUAAUCUUCUGAAAAUGAGGAAGGUAUCAGUGAAGAACACCAGCUGCAUCCGAUUGCAAAGUUUUUUCUCAAUUUAAAACAGAGUGCAAAAAGCUGGAUGAAGGGCUGGCACUGAAGACAUUUCUUCAGGGAAACUAAUGCUGACUUCUGUUACUUUGUUUUUGAGUUCUGAUGAAACAGUAGGGUCCUUCUGUAGGAGAAGUAAUCUCAGGAAUCAAAUGUUGGGUGAGAUGGCUGACACUAGAAGGGAAGAGAUCUUUGUUCAUUCAGCUCCGUGGAAGUGAAGGACAGGGUUUUGCUCACUAGAACAGAAACAGCCUACAAGCAAGCAAAAGGACAACACCUUAAAUAUCAGGAGAGGAUCUGGAAUUCCAAAAUGAAAAGGAAGAGAGGUAGUUUAGGAAACAGAAUAAAAUGUACUUUACAUUAAUAUACUUGCUGGUUCAUCACUUAAAAAAAUCUUUUCUAAUGGACAAAAUUAGUUGGCUUCAGACUGCAAUGAUCCCUCGUUCUAUGAGAUUUUACAUCUCAUUCAGAUGUCCAUAAACUGGCUAAUGAUAUACUAUAGAAAUAAUGAACUAUGCACUUCGAAGCAGUACAUCCAAAAAUACGCCAGUGUUAAUACGCUAUGGGACUUCUCAACUGUGGCUCUGACAUAUGCUAUGAGAGCGUUGAGAUAGCAUCAGAAUGCACACAGAAUAAAUUCUGCUAUAGCAGGCCACAAUUCAAAGAGACACUCUAAACUGUUACCUAAUUAACGACAAAACUGUCAGGGCUGUAGCAGAAAAAAGCACUUAUGACAGCUGUAAAAUCACACAGAUUAGGUGGGGUUUCUUUUCCCCACUCAUUUUCUCCACACUUGUCCAUAGUGUAGACAUAGUUCAACAACUGCCAUCUUGUCACUGAUCUCCUGGCCUUUCUUCAGUGACACACCCAGAAUCACAUAGUCACAGAAGCUGUUAAAACACGGUUUUUUUUGCUUUAAGGUUGAUGCCAGCCUGGAUUAGAAGGUAACAUGAGUACAAUCCUGCACUCUCCUGUAUAAUGAGAGAUGUGGAAAAAGGAAGCAUUUUUUUUCUCUUUAGUUUCUUUCUCAGAUAUAAGAGCAUGAAGAUACGUCACAUUUUCUAACUUCUCCCAUCCCUCCCUUUUCCUCUGAUCUGUCCUUGUGUGUUUUUCUCAUAUUACUCUAAUUACCUUAAUCCUUUAGUUGUUCAGAAACAAUCUUCAGGUAAUAACUUUCAACUCCUAUGUUAGAAGUAGCGAGUAGACUGUGAAAAUGGCAAUACAGCACACCAUCAUCACCUUCUUAAUGAGGCACGCAAAUAUUUCAGCGGAUCAUGAGCUUGAGUAUCCAUGUCCACAACUGAUGGGAAAGUCUUAUUCUUGUCAUGAAGGUGAAGAAAAACAAACCUGGAGAGAUGCAAAAAACAUGCCAAAAAUUUGUGACAAAGCUGAGAAUGGAAUCUAACAGUCUGUUAUAUAUCUUAACUACCAGAAUAUGUCUACUUCAUUUACAGGGAAAAAUAAAUCAAAAUGCUACAAGUUGAUUGCCAUGCCCAGACAUUUUGAAUUUACUUCCUUUUACUUGAUAAUUGACAAUUGGUUACAUUACUGUUCUUCCAAUCCUUCUGUUUAACAAACCUACAUUUGAGAUAACUAGUCUAAGAUAAUGCAAUGACACAUGAUAACGCUGUCUCUUAGCAGAGUAAAAUGACAACAUGGAUCAUGUUCUUAAUAACUUAUUAAAGCAUUUAUUUCUGUUAGUGUAUACAUCAUUAAAUCAAGGUUUAUUCCAAGCAAAGCCCAAGUUGAAAUUGAUGCUGAGACAAAACUCCAGUUCUCUGAAAGGAUCCUAAGUUUUUCUUAAAAUCCCACUAACUGAUGUAUUCAAUAAGGGAAAAAAAGAAAGGAGGGGAAAGAGGGGAAGGAAGAGAAAGAAGGAAAGAAACAACAAGCCUGUUAAGCUUAGUGUUUUAUAUUUAGUACCUAAAUAAUCUUUUGGUUCACUCACCACUAUUUUUCAACACUCAACAUACUCUUCAGAGAAUCUAGAGAGAAAGAGAUGAAAAAAUUAAAUGAAAUUUGCAUCUAGCAAGCUAUUCAGAUAAUAGAUUAUUAUUUGCACAAGACACAGAGGAUCAACUACAUCUUCAAGGAACUAGUUAACAUUUUUAGACAUGCUACAUUAAACAUGUUACUUUUCAGAUGAUUGCAGCUACCACCUUCUUUCAGUCUAAGGGAAAGGAUGGUUAAGUGAGUCAGGGCUAAGUAUGGAAGGCCUGGGAUGGGAAACUUCAAUAGGAUGGAGUGAGAAGCACAUGCCCAAAACAUGCCUGAAAAGCUUUGCUUCAGAAACUGUUCUGCUUCCUGAAGUAGAACCGUGUGCAUCGUUCCUUCCACAGAAUGUAGUAUACGCAGUACUGAAGUACCUUCUCCCCUGGAAUCUGUUUUUACUGAUAACAGCCUACAGCCCAUAUUCAACUCAUUAUAUCUGGAGAAUUAAGUAUACACCAAUGCUCAAAUUAAUUGAUUGUUUAUUUUCAAAAUAUAUACAAGUUUAUAGUAAGCAAUAAGCAACAUGUGCCAAUUUCAUAGGAACUGAGGAUGACACAACAAUUUCAGCCUCCAGUAAGGCAAGGAACUCCUGUGUUAACAUAAACCACUACAGCAAGGAAUCACAAUGCCUUUUCUCAAGGAUGCUGAGCCACCAGCUUAAAUUACAAGUGUACUGUAUUGCUCUGAGCACAUCUCUCAGAUCAUGAGAAACUACUGGUAGCCUCACCAAAGUAUCCCCGAGCUUUCACCCUCCUACACAACACUGUACCGCUGUAUUUCUGCAAGCAGCAGAGACCCACACCUCCAAAAAACCUGCACUGAGCAGACAAUCCCCAGCACUGGGCUUCAGGCUGCUUGGACCAUCCUCCUGUUGUCAGUUCUGACCCCCCUGAUUUGAGCCCUCCACAAGAACUUGAUGAGUACUGUGCAGCUUCAAGAGGCUGAGGAACCAAGAGUAACUGAUUAUAAAAACAAUUAAUUUGAUAAGUAACACUUAUCUAAUUCUCCUAGCUUACUUAUCAAGCAAAUGGAAACAAGACAUUUUCCAUUAUCAGCCUUUGAGAAAUUGGGUCUUCCUUCACUCGUUCUAAACCUACAACUUAAGAAAGUCUUAUUACAAAAAGGCAGCAGGUGACACACAGUAACUCAUGCAAAACAAUGUCUCACCCAAUACUGAUUAUUUAUUUUAAGUUCACUGAUUUUGGAUGCCCCAGUUUUUAACCAGUCUUCUU